CAGUGACGUAGAUGAUCCUGACCCUGGGGAGAAUGCCAGGUGAGCAAGUUGUCACCGUAGGAAUCAGAAUGGACGUUAUCAUCCGUAGUGAGAAUGGCAAAUGGAUAAUCAACAUCAGCCCAAUUGCCAGACUAAAACAUCAUUAUGACAGACUUCAUUUGCAAGAAUUCUUAAAACGGAGAAGCUGAAGAAUAAAGUGGCCA
rnacentral:lncRNA from 1 species